AACGAACGCUGGCGGUAGGCUUAACACAUGCAAGUCGAACGAACUAAAACCUGCUUGCAGGUUUUAGUGAGUGGCAGACGGGUGCGUAAUGCGUGGGAACUUACCUGAUAGUAGGGAAUAGCCAGUGGAGACAUUGGGUAAUGCCCUAUAUUCCCCGAGGGGAAAAGAUUAAUCGCUAUCAGAGAGGCCCACGUUAGAUUAGCUUGUUGGUGAGGUAAUGGCUCACCAAGGCUACGAUCUAUAGCUGGUCUGAGAGGAUGGUCAGCCACACUGGAACUGAGAUACGGUCCAGACUCCUACGGGAGGCAGCAGUGGGGAAUAUUGGACAAUGGGCGAAAGCCUGAUCCAGCCAUACCGCAUGAGUGAUGAAGGCCCUUGGGUUGUAAAGCUCUUUUAGUGGGGAAGAUAAUGACGGUACCCACAGAAAAAGUCCCGGCUAACUCCGUGCCAGCAGCCGCGGUAAUACGGAGGGGGCUAGCGUUGUUCGGAAUUAUUGGGCGUAAAGGGUGCGUAGGCGGCCUGAUAAGUCAAAUGUGAAAUCCUUGGGCUUAACCCAAGAACUGCAUUUGAUACUGUUAGGCUUGAACAUGAGAGAGGGUGAUGGAAUUCUUGGUGUAGGGGUGAAAUCCGUAGAUAUCAAGAGGAACGUCAGGGGCGAAAGCGAUCACCUGGAUCAUUGUUGACGCUGAGGCACGAAAGCGUGGGGAGCAAACAGGAUUAGAUACCCUGGUAGUCCACGCCGUAAACGAUGAGUGCUAAAAGUGGGUUGUUUUAUAUCCGCUUUGCAGCUAACGCGUUAAGCACUCCGCCUGGGGACUACGGUCGCAAGACUAAAACUCAAAGGAAUUGACGGGGAUCCGCACAAGCGGUGGAGUAUGUGGUUUAAUUCGAUGCAACGCGAAGAACCUUACCACACCUUGACAUGCAAAUUAUACCUCUCCGAAAGGAGAGGGUCAGUUCGGCUGGAUUUGACACAGGUGUUGCAUGGCUGUCGUCAGCUCGUGCCGUGAGGUGUUGGGUUAAGUCCCGCAACGAGCGCAACCCCCAUCCUUAGUUGCCAGCGGUUUGGCCGGGAACUUUAAGGAAACUGCCAGUGACAAACUGGAGGAAGGUGGGGAUAACGUCAAGUCAUCAUGGCCCAUAUGGUGUGGGCUACACACGUACUACAAUGGUGGUUACAACGAGUUUAGCUAAGUCGCAAGGCUACGCAAAUCUCUUAAAAGCCACCCCAGUACAGAUUGCUCUCUGCAACUCGAGAGCAUGAAAGUUGGAAUCGCUAGUAAUCGCGGAUCAGCAUGCCGCGGUGAAAUACGUUCUCGGAUCU
rnacentral:rRNA from 1 species